rnacentral:lncRNA from 1 species
CUAAUUCAAACACAGUUACGGAUAGCCCAAGGAGAUUUGGGGGAGAAAAACCCUAACCCGGCGAUUACUCAAGAACCACCUCAUCGCAGCGAGACUAACUAAGAUUCGGCACCAUCUAAGAGGUAUGAACUCAUUUCCUUCCGUAUUAACAUAUAUGUGUGUGUUUUGCUUGUUUGAUUGAUGUGUGUUGCACUUUAAUUUGUUGAAUCGCAUGUAUACUGAGUCGUAUGUAUAUGUUUAGUUUAAUUUAUGUGUUAUUGUAAUGUCACAGUAUGGAUUCGUUGGCUAGUUUGUUUGUGCACUACCAUGGGGAUCUGUUGUAUGAACCCUAGAUUCAAUACAAAGGUGGAGUAGUAGAUGUAAUUCCUGG